rnacentral:rRNA from 1 species
GAUGAACGCUGGCGGCGUGCCUAAUACAUGCAAGUCGAGCGAACAGAUAAGGAGCUUGCUCCUUUGACGUUAGCGGCGGACGGGUGAGUAACACGUGGAUAACCUACCUAUAAGACUGGGAUAACUUCGGGAAACCGGAGCUAAUACCGGAUAACAUAUUGAACCGCAUGGUUCAAUAGUGAAAGGCGGCUUUGCUGUCACUUAUAGAUGGAUCCGAGCCGUAUUAGCUAGUUGGUAAGGUAACGGCUUACCAAGGCAACGAUACGUAGCCGACAUGAGAGGGUGGUCGGCCACACUGGAACUGAGACACGGUCAAGACUCCUACGGGAGGCAGCAGUAGGGAAUCGUCCGCAAUGGGCGAAAGCCUGACGGAGCAACGCCGCGUGAGUGAUGAAGGUCUUCGGAUCGUAAAACUCUGUUAUCAGGGAAGAACAAAUGUGUAAGUAACUGUGCACAUCUUGACGGUACCUGAUCAGAAAGCCACGGCUAACUACGUGCCAGCCGCCGCAGUAA